rnacentral:rRNA from 1 species
AUGACCGUAUCACAUUGAAAUACCGGUUUCCGUACGAUCCCCGAUAUUAAACAACGUUCUUCCUGGUCAGUACCCAGAUGGGUGGCCACAUGGAAAUUCCAUGUGCUGUAAG